GACGAACGCUGGCGACGCGCUUAACACAUGCAAGUCGAACGGAAAGGCCUGCUUUCCCUUGUGGAUUGCGGGUACUCGAGUGGCGAACGGGUGAGUAACACGUGAGUGAUCUGCCCCCAACUUGGGUAUAAGCCUGGGAAACUGGGUCUAAUUCCCGAUAGGACUGCAGGGUGGUGCCGGUGGUGGCAAACGAUUUUCUAGUGGUUGGGGAUGAGCUCGCGGCCUAUCAGCUUGUUGGUGGGGUAAUGGCCUACCAAGGCGGGGUCGGGUAGCCUGCCUGGGAGGGUGGACGGCCACAUUUGGCCGGCGAUACGGCCCCUACGCCUACGGGCGGCAGCAGUGGGGAAUAAUGCGCGAGGGGCGGAAGCCUGAUGCAGCGACGCCGCGUGGGGGAUGCCGGCCUUCGGGUUGUAACCUCCUUUCGACCGCGAGGAAGCCACCUGGUUGGAAGGGUGGUGACGGUAGUGGUAGAAGAAGCACCGGCUAACUACGUG
rnacentral:rRNA from 1 species